AUGGCGGUGGACAAGCCCGGCGGCGGCGGCGGCGGCGGGGCCUCGUCCUCCACGCCCUCGCCCGCCUCCACCACGGACCGCUUCCUCAAGAUCGUGCUCAGCUGGGACUACCUCCGCAUCGUCGCCGACUCCAAGGGCGCGGACAAGGCCAAGGGGCUGCAGCACGUGAAGAACAGCUACGCCUCCGUGGAGGAGUACUUGGGCGUCUUCGAGCCGCUGCUCUUCGAGGAGGUCAAGGGGCAGAUCCUCCAGGGCCGCCGCAACGAGGAGGAGGAGGAGGACGAGGUUGGGCUGGACUGGCAGAGAGGGGCGGUGGCAUCAUGUGCAGAGUCCGAGGGUUUCCACAAGUUGUCCAUGGUGGUGUCCGAUGGCCUCCGUGACAUUGUGUGUGAGAAUGACCUCCUCCUGCUCUCCAAAGAGAAAUUUGAGGAGGGAGUGAAUCCUACCGCGUAUGCCUUUGCCGUGGUGGAACAGCGAGGUGGUAAAGAUAACCUCUCUCUUAGAACAUUUGUGGCGGGGGAAAUAAAAAAUCUAAAUGUUGCACGGCCUGUGAAGUCUUCAAGGCUGCAGCGCUUUGCUUCCAUUUUGUCAACACCAAAUAGCUUUCUGUGGAUUUUAAAGAUGUGCAGUUUAUCUACCAUACUGCGAGAGUACUCUGGAAUGCACUCUGUAGCUUCACAUCCUUUUAAGGAUUUGAUUCUUUCAGCUUCUGAGAACAACAGAGAUGGAAAUGAUCAAAAUCGUGCUUGGAAUGUACCUCAGCCACUUAUGGAUUACCUGAAAACAAAUCUUAAUGGUUCACAGCUAGAUGCAGUUAAUGCAGGUCUUUCGCGCAGAUCCUUUGUCCUUAUUCAGGGCCCACCAGGAACUGGAAAAACACAAACGAUCCUUGGACUGCUCAGUGCUGUUCUUCAUUCCGCUCCUGCAAGAAUGCAGACUAGAGGAGGGUUUGAUGUUCAAAAGCAUGGGCCAGAGCUGGACAUAGAGAGCAAGCACGCAAACUGGAUGAAAGCAUCUCCAUGGCUAAUUGGUGCAAAUCCUCGAGAUUUGAUUAUGCCUGUCGAUGGUGAUGAUGGUUUUUAUCCUACUGGGAAUGAUCUGAAACCUGAAGUCGUAAGUUCCAAUCGCAAGUAUCGUGCCCAUGUGUUGGUCUGUGCUCCAUCCAACUCAGCACUUGAUGAGAUUGUAUUGCGUGUUCUUCAAACAGGAAUACGUGAUGAAAAUAACAACACUUACAAUCCCAAGAUUGUGCGUAUUGGAUUAAAGGCACAUCAUUCUGUCAAAGCAGUUUCCAUGGAUUACCUUAUACAACAAAAACAAUCUGGGGUGGCAUCAGAUGGCGGGAGACGAGGAGCUGGUGAACAGGAUCGAAUUAGAGCUUCACUUCUUGACGAAGCAGCUAUUGUGUUUUCUACCCUCAGUUUCAGUGGAUCGGCCAUUUUCACCAGGAUGACUCGUGCUUUUGAUGUUGUUAUAAUUGAUGAAGCCGCGCAAGCUGUAGAACCAGCGACUCUUGUGCCCCUGGUUCAUGGAUGCAGACAAGUUUUUCUUGUUGGUGACCCAGUUCAGUUACCUGCAACUGUAAUUUCAAAGACUGCUCAGAACUUAGGUUAUCGAACAAGUUUGUUCCAGAGAUUUCAAGCUGCUGGUUUUCCCGUGCAAAUGCUCAAAAUUCAGUAUCGUAUGCAUCCAGAGAUUAGUGUAUUCCCUUCAAAAGAAUUCUAUGAAGGCAUCCUAGAAGACGGGGAAGGGCUCAACAAAAAACGUCCAUGGCAUUCCUACAGCUGCUUCGGACCAUUUUGCUUCUUUGAUGUUGAUGGGGUUGAAUCUCAGCUGUCUGGAAGUGGUUCGACGGUGAACGAGGAUGAAGUGGAAUUCAUAACCCUCCUAUAUCACCAAUUGGCCAUGCGCUAUCCAGAACUCAAAUCUAGUUCUCAAGUAGCUGUUAUAUCACCAUACAGGGGUCAGGUGAAACUCCUGAAGGACCAUUUCCGGUCGACCUUUGGCGACCAAUCAAAGGAAGUUAUAGAUGUAAACACUGUUGAUGGAUUCCAGGGCCGUGAAAAGGAACUUGUCAUUUUCUCAUGUGUUCGAUGCAAUAAGGAGCAAAAUAUUGGGUUUGUUUCUGAUUUUCGGCGAAUGAAUGUUGCCAUCACCAGAGCUAGAUCUGCUGUACUUGUAAUAGGUUCCGCUUCAACAUUGAAGAAAGAUAAACACUGGACCAACCUUGUUGAGAGUGCCAAAGAGCGAAACCGUUAUUUCAAGGUGCCAAAGCCAUUCACUGCGUUCUUCACCGAGGAUAGUUUCAAAUCCAUGAAGGUGGAGAGACCUGUUCCAGACGCGAGGAUAUCACAGGCAGUAGAAGCCAUCAAUGAAGUGGUUGCAAGGCAAGAAGUGAUGGACGCAGACGAUGCUGGGGACCAUCAAGCGGAUGGAGAUGAUUAUGACGCCAUGGAGGCUGAUGAUGGAGGAGGUGGUGAUGAUUAA
rnacentral:rRNA from 1 species